rnacentral:lncRNA from 1 species
GACGUAUAUUACCGCGACACUGUCCAGAGCGGUUCAAAGUCAGGCUGACUUUGUCCUGCAAUACCGACCAUAAUGGGAAAUCACAGCCCUGCACAUCUGGUUGUUCUUGGAUUGUCACUCACUGUCUACAUCCUGGUUGUUCUACUCAAUGCACUUGCUGGACAAGGACUAGGUGCAAAAUGGAUUAGCUACAUAUACGACAUGGACAACAAUAGCCACCCUGAUCAACCUAAAUAUCGUGCUGGCCUAUGAUGCUGGCAUGUCCCAGUCAGACGCGGGAACAGUGGCUCUCUCUAUUCUACUGGUUGAAGCCUGUGUGUGGUUUAUCCUGGAGAACUUUGUUUUUGAAAAGCAUGUGCGUUACAUCCUUACCAUCUACCCUGUGGUAAUUAUAGCCUUGUCGGGUAACAUGACAAAGAACUACAAUCAUGCAGGCCCGAGCCGCAAUGGCCUUUUCACUGCUGUGCUCUUGGCUCUUGCUUGCGUGUUAUUUGCUGCAAGACUCAUUCUGGUCCUCUGGAGACAUUUCAAGCAGCCUCUCUACACAAACAUAACUUCUGAAAACAGCAUGUCUCCUAUGGAGAUUGCAAAGAAGCAGAAAGCUAUAUUUAGCUAAAGUCUUGUGUCUUUUGCUGCACUUUUGAUUUUGCACUAUUGUACAUGUUUGCCAAUCGUUGAUUAAUUGUUGCACGUUAACUGCAAUUAAUUAAUUAAACUGUAAAUAACUGUAAUAAUUGUAAUGUAAUUGAAAUAUGCAAACUACUAAAUAUUUAAAAAAAAUGUAAGAACCUUAGACAGGAGAUUGCUUUAAAUUUGGCAUAUGUGUAGCAAGAUAAAAAUCUAAAUGACAAUUAUAUGCAUAAAUUAAUUUUGUUGACAGAUGGCUGUGCUGUUCCCGACUUGCACCUACC